rnacentral:rRNA from 1 species
AUUGAACGCUGGCGGCAUGCCUUACACAUGCAAGUCGAACGGUAACAGGCCGCAAGGUGCUGACGAGUGGCGAACGGGUGAGUAAUGCAUCGGAACGUGCCCAGUCGUGGGGGAUAACGCAGCGAAAGCUGUGCUAAUACCGCAUACAAUCUAUGGAUGAAAGCGGGGGACCGUAAGGCCUCGCGCGAUUGGAGCGGCCGAUGGCAGAUUAGGUAGUUGGUGUGGUAAAGGCCUACCAAGCCGACGAUCUGUAGCUGGUCUGAGAGGACGACCAGCCACACUGGGACUGAGACACGGCCCAGACGCCUACGGGAGGCAGCAGUGGGGAAUUUUGGACAAUGGGCGCAAGCCUGAUCCAGCAAUGCCGCGUGCAGGAAGAAGGCCUUCGGGUUGUAAACUGCUUUUGUACGGAACGAAACGGUCUGGGUUAAUACCCUGGGCUAAUGACGGUACCGUAAGAGUAAGCACCGGCUAACUACGUGCCAGCCGCCGCGGUAAUAC